rnacentral:rRNA from 1 species
GGUUUUUUGAAAUUAAAUGAAAAAUCUGACCUGCCCAAUGAGAAUUGAAUGGCCGCGGUAUUUUGACCGUGCGAAGGUAGCAUAAUCAUUUGUCUUUUAAUUAAAGACUGGAAUGAAUGGUUGGACGUAAUAAAAACUUUUUUAAUUACAAGGAUUAAAGUUUACUUUUUAGUGAAAAGGCUAAAAUAAGUCUAAAAGACAAGAAGACCCUAUCAAGUUUUAUUAAUGUAGUAUUAAGUAUAAGAGGUAUUGUGUAAAUAUUAUUUAAUUUUGCUGGGGCGGCAUAUAAGAACAUAUAAUGAUCCGGAAUUUUCGAUUAUUGGAUUAAAUUACUGUAGGGAUAACAGCGUAAUCUUAUUUAAGAGUUCAUAUCGACAAUAAGGGUUGCGACCUCGAUGUUGGAUUANAAUACCUUUCUUGGGGCAGUACCUANAAAAGGNGGUCUGUUCGACCA